AUUGAACGCUGGCGGAAUGCUUUACACAUGCAAGUCGAACGGCAGCACGGACAUCGGUCUGGUGGGGAGUGGCGAACGGGCGAGUAAGGUAUCGGAACGUAUCCAAUAAUGGGGGGGAACUAGUCGAAAGAUUAGCUAAUACCGCAUACGCCCUGCGGGGGGACGCUAGGGACCUUCGGGCGUGGCGUUAAUGGAGAGGCCGAAAUCGGAUUGGCUAGUUGGUGGGGUAAAGGCUCACCAAGGCGACGAUCAGUAGCUGGUCUGAGAGGACGACCAGCCACACUGGAACUGAGACACGGUCCAGACUCCUACGGGAGGCAGCAGUGGGGAAUUUUGGACAAUGGGCGAAAGCCUGAUGCAGCCAUGCCGCGUGAGUGAAGAAGGCCUUCGGGUUGUAAAGCUCUUUCGCAAGGGAAGAAAACUUACCCGCUAACAUAGGGUGAGGCUGACGUUAUCUGGAUAAGAAGCACCGGCUAACUCCGUGCCAGCAGCCGCCGUAA
rnacentral:rRNA from 1 species